CUCCUACGGGAGGCAGCAGUGAGGAAUAUUGGUCAAUGGGCGGAAGCCUGAACCAGCCAUGCCGCGUGCGGGAAGGAGGCCCUAUGGGCUGUGAACCGCUUUUGCCUGGGGGCAAUAAGGGCGUCGCGCACGUCCGAUGAGAGUACCAGGCGAAUAAGCAUCGGCUAACUCCGUGCCAGCAGCCGCGGUAAUACGGGGGAUGCGAGCGUUAUCCGGAUUCAUUGGGUUUAAAGGGUGCGUAGGCUGUGCGUCAAGUCGGGGGUGAAAUUCCGGUGCUCAACACCGGGGCUGCCCUUGAUACUGUCGCGCUGGAGUGCGGAUGCCGCCGGAGGAAUGAGUGGUGUAGCGGUGAAAUGCUUAGAUAUCACUCAGAACACCGAUUGCGAAGGCAUCUGGCGAAUCCGUAACUGACGCUGAGGCACGAAAGCGUGGGGAUAGAACAGGAUUAGAUACCCUGGUAUUCCACGCCGUAAACGAUGAUGGCUAACCGCCGGCGACACACUGUCGGUGGCCAAGCGAAAGCGAUAAGCCAUCCACCUGGGGAGUACGUCGGCAACGAUGAAACUCAAAGGAAUUGACGGGGGCCCGCACAAGCGGAGGAACAUGUGGUUUAAUUCGAUGAUACGCGAGGAACCUUACCCGGGCUCGAACGGCACCUGGAUCGCCCAGAGAUGGGCGAGUCUUCGGACAGGUGUCGAGGUGCUGCAUGGUUGUCGUCAGCUCGUGCCGUGAGGUGUCGGCUCAAGUGCCAUAACGAGCGCAACCCUUGCCGCCAGUUGCCAUCAGGUGAUGCUGGGCACUCUGGCGGGACUGCCACCGCAAGGUGUGAGGAGGGGGGGAUGACGUCAAAUCAGCACGGCCCUUACGUCCGGGGCGACACACGUGUUACAAUGGCGGCCACAGAGGGAAGCUACCCCGCGAGGGGAUGCGGAUCUCGAAAAGCCGUCCCAGUUCGGACUGGAGUCUGCAACCCGACUCCACGAAGUUGGAUUCGCUAGUAAUCGCGCACCAGCCAUGGCGCGGUGAAUACGUUCCCGGGCCUUGUACACACCGC
rnacentral:rRNA from 1 species